rnacentral:rRNA from 1 species
GCAGUCGACGAUGAAGGGAAGCUUGCUUCUUGGAUUAGUGGCGAACGGGUGAGUAACACGUGAGUAACCUGCCCUUGACUCUGGGAUAAGCACUGGAAACGGUGUCUAAUACCGGAUACGAACUUCCACCGCAUGGUGAGGAGUUGGAAAGAAUUUUGGUCAAGGAUGGACUCGCGGCCUAUCAGCUAGUUGGUGAGGUAAUGGCUCACCAAGGCGACGACGGGUAGCCGGCCUGAGAGGGUGACCGGCCACACUGGGACUGAGACACGGCCCAGACUCCUACGGGAGGCAGCAGUGGGGAAUAUUGCACAAUGGGCGCAAGCCUGAUGCAGCAACGCCGCGUGAGGGACGAAGGCCUUCGGGUUGUAAACCUCUUUUAGUAGGGAAGAAGCGUAAAAGUGACGGUACCUGCAGAAAAAGCACCGGCUAACUACGUGCCAGCAGCCGCGGUAAUACGUAGGAUGCAAGCGUUAUCCGGAAUUAUUGGGCGUAAAGAGCUCGUAGGCGGUUUGUCGCGUCUGCUGUGAAAACUGGGGGCUCAACCCCCAGCCUGCAGUGGGUACGGGCAGACUAGAGUGCGGUAGGGGAGAUUGGAAUUCCUGGUGUAGCGGUGGAAUGCGCAGAUAUCAGGAGGAACACCAAUGGCGAAGGCAGAUCUCUGGGCCGUAACUGACGCUGAGGAGCGAAAGCAUGGGGAGCG